CAUCCAAGGAAGGCAGCAGGCGCGCAAAUUACCCAAUCCCGGUACGGGGAGGUAGUGACGAAAAAUAACAAUACGGGUUGCACUUAUGUGUACUCGUAAUUGGAAUGAGUACAGUUUAAAUCCUUUAACGAGGAUCAAUUGGAGGGCAAGUCUGGUGCCAGCAGCCGCGGUAAUUCCAGCUCCAAUAGCGUAUAUUAAAAGUUGUUGUGGUUAAAAAGCUCGUAGUUGGAUCUCAGCCCACGCUUGGCGGUCCACAAUGCGUGGUUACUGCCAGGCUGGGCACUCUACCGCCUCUGUCCUGUGGUGCCCUUAACCGAGUGUCACAGGCGGUCGGUACGUUUACUUUGAAAAAAUUAGAGUGCUCAAAGCAGGCAUUCGCCUGAAUACUGUUGCAUGGAAUAAUGAAAUAGGACUUGGUUCUAUUUGUUGGUCUU
rnacentral:rRNA from 1 species